rnacentral:rRNA from 1 species
GAUGAACGCUGGCGGCGUGCUUAACACAUGCAAGUCGAACGGAAAGGCUCCUGCUUGCUGGGGUACUCGAGUGGCGAACGGGUGAGUAACACGUGGGUGAUCUGCCCUGCACUUCGGGAUAAGCUUGGGAAACUGGGUCUAAUACCGGAUAGGACCGCAUUUUGGAUGGUGUGGUGGAAAGUUUUUUCGGUGUGGGAUGGGCUCGCGGCCUAUCAGCUUGUUGGUGGGGUAAUGGCCUACCAAAGCGUCGACGGGUAGCCGGCCCUGGAAGGGGUACGGGCACCAUGGGACUGAGGGAGGGCCCAGGCCGCUACGGGGGGCAACAGGGGGGAAUAUUACCCAAUGGGCGCGAGCCGGAUGCAGCGGCGCCGGGUUGGGGAUGACGGCCUUCGGGUUGUAAACACCUUUCGCUAGGGACGAAGAGUAAUUGACGGUACCUGGAGAAGAAGCACCGGCUAACUACGUG